GAUGGCAUGUAGGUAAUUGGAUAUAUGACUCUGGACUUGAGAGGCAAGGGUCAGGCUGUUGAUGUAUAAAAUUGGUAGUCAUGACAUCUUAGUGGUCCUUUAUUUUAGUUGGCAGAAGUGGAGGGACCUGCAAAUCUGACAGAAAGGAGUAGCUUCUGGGGAGAAAUGUGGUGCCUCUGAGGUCAAGCAAAUGAAGUGAAUUGUGUUAACAAUGCUGAAAAUUUGAGUAAAAUGACAACUGAGAAUUGACUGUCGGUUUUGACAAAAGGGGAGUUCACUGGUGAUCUUCACAAUUCAGUCUUUAUACCUAUCUAAAAUAGCAUCUCAUCAGUCUCUGCCUCUUUAUACAGACUUAGGCCUUUUUUCAUGUUUAUAAUUAGCUGACAGUACAUGUGUAUAUCUGUGAUGCAUAUGAUGUGUUUGGCUAUCUUCCUGCAGCUAUAUGAUAUGACCUUUGAGAGGAGGAGGAAAUUUGUCUUGUUCCCAUUUGAAUCUCUGGUGAUUAAAAGCUGUUUGUGGAAAGAAUGGCUUACAAUGCUAGCCCAGGGUGUCCUUGAUGUCCAGACAUCCAGUAUAGACAUUCAGGGAAAUUGUUCUAGCUGUGCUUUCAGGUACCCACCCUGCCCACUCCCAUUUUGGAUAAAAUGCCCCAGCCACAGCACCUGCUGUGGUGAUCAUCAAUUCACAGGUUCAGCUGCUGUCAUCGCAGAGGGUUGAACUAGGCUUCCAAAGCCUGGAUGCCUCUGUUGGUUUCUCCUGUGUCAUAGACUCCUCUCUCCAAUGCAGCAGCCCUGCCAGAUUGCUCUUCCUUUCAUGUCACCGCCUAGAAGUCUGGUGAGCAAAUAUUCUCAAUUUUUUGAUAGGGAGUUUGGAGUUGACAUGUACAUCCUGCUAUAUUCAAAAUCAAUAACAAGGACCUACUGUAGAGCACAUGAGACUCUGUUCAGUGUUAUCUGGCAUGAUAUGGGGAGUUCGGAAGAGAAUGAAUACAUGUAUAUGUAUGGCUGAGUCCCUAUGCUGUCCCCUUGAAACUAUCACAUCAUUGUUAAUCAGCUAUACUACAUUACAAAAUAAAAAGUUAAAAGAAUUCUCA
rnacentral:lncRNA from 1 species